CGCCUCUGGACACAGGAAUGCAACAGCCGACCUCUCUCUGCGGGACCCGGUGACUGCUCCGCGCAAAGGAAAGCUGCGCAAGAUUUAAACAACUGAGCCACAAGCGUAAUCCGAGCCAAUCGCUGAAGGGAUGGAGGGGGAGCUACCCAGCAUCCCUGUGUUCUGGAGGAAGUUGUGUUGGGUUUGCAGUAAAGAGAAGGGCAGCCCGUGUUGGUGAGCCGAGCAGAAGCAGCAGAGGCAGGGGGAGGACGCUCCUCACAGGCAGGAUCACGCACACCCAUAGCACGAAAUGGCAGGGACAGAAAAUAACGAAAGAACAAGUAGAUCCAGCGGGGAAGCAAACGGGGCAGAGCGCAGGGGAGAAAGAAGAAACGUUUCAGCCAAGUUAGGGAUGUAUUCCAAGCAAUGGGAGAAAGACAAGAGGUGAAUGCCGCCUUCUAGCAGAUUUGUCGCAUUUGCAUGAAGAGCAUUUGUCGUCUGGGAGACUAGCAGCAGCUGGGAUGUCCGAUGCAAGAAGAAAUCUUCCUAAUAUAAAGAAGUCUUCAGGUUCAACUGAUUUUAAAAGUCGAGCACUGCGCUGCUGAUUUGCAAGAUAUUUUCGGUCAAGAAGAUAUUCACGAACAAGACUACUUGACCCUGUACAACUGAGGAGAUUCUCAAGUGGAGACUACUGGUAUGUCACCAAGAUGGCGCCUCCUUUAUCUGUGAUUUUGGGACAACUAUCAUAUGGCAAGGCUGAUUUCAUUGACUCAAAAUGGAUUCUGUUGAUAAACUGCAUUUGUACAUGCCAUGUUUUUUAUAAGAUUAAUUUCAUAUUUGGAAGCUAUUUUAAAUCUACAAAAAAAUGCAAUGGCUAUUUGUCUGAAUUGCAAAAGUGUGUAACUGAAUAUUUGAAUCAUUUUUCAUGGGGAGAUGUCUUGAACUCUGUAUACUUGAAGCAUACAAAUAUUUUGUUGGAUUGCUCUGAAGGAUACAAAAUAAAAUAUAAUUAAUUUAAA